AUUUGAUGUUCACUGCAUCAAGGACCUUUAGACCUUUAAAGCAUGUGAUCAUAAUAUGCCUAAACUCACAAACAUAUUGCAGCUGCAAUAAACAAUUGCACUUGAAAGGUCAUCACAAACUUUGAAAAUUGUAAUUCAUAAAAGCAAUGUUUAAAUUCUCAAUGUCAGAAAAGGCGGCUAUGUAUUCACUCCUUGAUUGACAUUCAACAUGUGGCUUGAUAUAAGCUCCAUUGAACCAUUCAUACUCAUCUUGGAAUGCUUCGAAAACUUUUGGAUCGGAGUGUAUACUUGUCCUAGACUGCCUCAAUAACAUGCAAUACAUGUUUUCAUAUAACCUAAUUAAUCUCAAUUCAAUACUCAUAAAUUCAAUUCGAAUACAAUUGGAGAGAAUGAUAGCUGACGCAAUUGAAGAUGAAGAGAAAUGGCUUUUCGCCGGAAUUGUCGACCUUCAACAAAAUGGUUUCCACACGCACCAUGCUUUGGUAAUUCCCCUCUCUUUUCUUUUCAAUUUCGCAAUUGAAUUUCAGAAACCCUAACUUACAACUUCUCCGGAUUGAUUUUUCAAUCCAAAAUACGCUUUAUAUUACUCGGCUCAGAUGCAAUUGGAGUUGUGUACUUACUACGCUCUAUGUAAAUAUUUUGAUCUGAUUUUGCAAUUGCAGUUGUGAUCGUAAUGCUGUGUAUUUUUAUUGAAAUUGUCUACUUCUAUUUUUGCCUACUUUGGAUGGAUUCA